rnacentral:rRNA from 1 species
GGUCAAGCACUUAAGCGCACACGGUGGAUGCCUUGGCGACAACAGGCGAUGAAGGACGUGGUAGCCUGCGAAAAGCCUCGGGGAGCCGGCAAACAGGCGUUGAUCCGGGGGUAUCCGAAUGGGGAAACCCACCUCCUUGGUGAGGUAUCCCAGGCUGAAUCCAUAGGUCUGGGAGGCGAACCCGGGGAAUUGAAACAUCUCAGUACCCGGAGGAAGAGAAAUCAACCGAGAUUCCGUCAGUAGCGGUGAGCGAAGGCGGAGCAGCCAGCAGUCUUUAGCGUUGGGGUUAGGAGAAGGGUCUGGAAAGGCCGGCCGCAGAGGGUGAAAGCCCCGUAUCUGAAAACCCGGACGUGGAACCAGGGCUGCAACAAGUAGGGCGGGACACGUGUAAUCCUGUCUGAAGAUGGGGGGACCAUCCUCCAAGGCUAAAUACUCGUUGUCGACCGAUAGUGAACCAGUACCGUGAGGGAAAGGCGAAAAGAACCCCGGCAAGGGGAGUGAAAGAGAACCUGAAACCGUGUGCGUACAAGCAGUGGGAGCGCCUGCGGGCGUGACUGCGUACCUUUUGUAUAAUGGGUCAGCGACUUACUUCUCAGUGGCGAGCUUAACCGUGUAGGGUAGGCGAAGGGAAACCGAGUCUGAACAGGGCGAUUGAGUCGCUGGGAGUAGACCCGAAGCCGGGCGAUCUAUCCAUGGCCAGGGUGAAGGUGGGGUAACACCCACUGGAGGCCCGAACCGGGAACUGUUGAAAAAGUUUCGGAUGAGCUGUGGAUCGGAGUGAAAGGCUAAUCAAGCUCGGCGAUAGCUGGUUCUCCCCGAAAGCUAUUUAGGUAGUGCCUCGUGUCUCACUCCCGGGGGUAGAGCGCUGUUUCGGCUAGGGGGCCAUCCCGGCUUACCAAACCGAGGCAAACUGCGAAUACCGGGAAGUGCAAUCACGGGAGACACACGGCGGGUGCUAAAAUCCGUCGUGAAGAGGGAAACAGCCCAGACCGCCAGCUAAGGUCCCCAAAUCACGGCUUAGUGGGAAACGAUGUGGGAAGGCCCAGACAGCCAGGAGGUUGGCUUAGAAGCAGCCAUCCUUUAAAGAAAGCGUAAUAGCUCACUGGUCGAGUCGGCCUGCGCGGAAGAUUCACCGGGGCUUGAAGUCGUGUACCGAAGCUGCGGACCCCCCCUCCAUCCCCCCCUUGUGAAAGGGGGGGAGAGCGGGGGGGGGUGGUAGGGGAGCGUUCCGUAGGCCGGUGAAGGAAGACUGCGAGGUCUUCUGGAGGUAUCGGAAGUGCGAAUGCUGACAUGAGUAACGAUAAUGCGGGUGAAAAGCCCGCACGCCGAAAGCCCAAGGGUUCCUGCGCAACGUUCAUCGGCGCAGGGUGAGUCGGCCCCUAAGGCGAGGCCGAAAGGCGUAGUCGAUGGGAAACCGGUUAAUAGUCCGGUACUGGGGUGCAUUGCGAUGGGGGGACGGAGCAGGCUAGGCCGGCCGGGUGUUGGAUGUCCCGGUUUAAGCGUGUAGGGAGGUGUGCCAGGCAAAUCCGGCGCAUCAAUCCCGAGGCGUGAUGACGAGCCUCUAUAGGAGGCGAAGUGGUUGAUGCCAGACUCCCAGGAAAAGCCUCUAAGCGUUCAGAUGCACGCCAACCGUACCCCAAACCGACACAGGUGGGCGGGGAGAGAAUCCUCAGGCGUUUGAGAGAACUCGGGUGAAGGAACUCGGCAAAAUGGUACCGUAACUUCGGGAUAAGGUACGCCCCCGUCAGGUGAAGUGGCUUGCCCACACAGCCGAGGGGGGUUGCAGUGACCAGGUGGCUGCGACUGUUUACUAAAAACACAGCACUCUGCCAACUCGAAAGAGGACGUAUAGGGUGUGACGCCUGCCCGGUGCCGGAAGGUUAAGUGAUGGGGUCAGCCUUUGGGCGAAGCUCUUGAUCGAAGCCCCGGUAAACGGCGGCCGUAACUAUAACGGUCCUAAGGUAGCGAAAUUCCUUGUCGGGUAAGUUCCGACCUGCACGAAUGGCGUAACGAUGGCCACACUGUCUCCACCCG